AUUGAACGCUGGCGGCAUGCCUUACACAUGCAAGUCGAACGGCAGCACGGGAGCAAUCCUAGUGGCGAGUGGCGAACGGGUGAGUAAUAUAUCGGAACGUGCCCAGUCGUGGGGGAUAACGUAGCGAAAGCUACGCUAAUACCGCAUACGAUCUAUGGAUGAAAGCGGGGGAUCGCAAGACCUCGCGCGAUUGGAGCGGCCGAUAUCAGAUUAGCUAGUUGGUGGGGUAAAGGCCCACCAAGGCGACGAUCUGUAGCUGGUCUGAGAGGACGACCAGCCACACUGGGACUGAGACACGGCCCAGACUCCUACGGGAGGCAGCAGUGGGGAAUUUUGGACAAUGGGCGCAAGCCUGAUCCAGCAAUGCCGCGUGCAGGACGAAGGCCUUCGGGUUGUAAACUGCUUUUGUACGGAACGAAACGGCUCUCUCUAAUACAGGGGGCUAAUGACGGUACCGUAAGAAUAAGCACCGGCUAACUACGUGCCAGCCGCCGCCGUAAGAC
rnacentral:rRNA from 1 species